CUGAGCAGCCGCCGCCGGCGGGGCGCGGGCUGCUGCUGCUCCCGUUGCCGCUGCGCCGGGCUCCGGGCCGCCCCUCGCCCGGCCUCCCUCCUUCCCUCCCCCUGACAGGGCCGGAGGGGCGGGCUCGGCACGGCGGGACUCACCCCUGCCCGGGAAGGGGCUCACCGAAAAGGAGGUGUGCUAGCCAGGACAGGUACCGAGMAGCCGAGGGUGUCCCGAGGAGGAGUGGUUGGUCCUGCUAUUCAUCAGAGCUCCGGAGAAAGAACACGCAAGACGCUACACUAACGAGAAGGGCUGCUAAUGCCUUUUUAGGGUAGAUGACAGCUAUUAAAAUCUGCAGUGARUUUCAGAAAUGCUGCAGUUCGGCGCUGUAGAGAGCUGCGGGGUUUCUCAGCCACACUUUUGUCAGCGUGUGUGCUGAUAGGAUGCGGACCUCUCGAUCAUGACUCAUUGCUCCAGUUUCACACCUGUAAGUUCCACGUCUGUCUGAGUUGGUCACCUUUKGCAUCUGGGAGGAAGAAAUGGGCAUCCGCAGAGGGACAUUCAACAUAUUGUGAAUAUGGCCCUCUUUAUUAACUACAGUAAGRGCAUAAAGUUACCAGCUCAAACUUAGGCUUCUAGUUUUUUAGACAUCUAAGAUUACUUGAAGUAUCCCGGAAGAUGGAAAGUCAGCAAGAUGCUGACUUCAGGUAUUUAAACUAAAAUGUAUAGUUUCAAAAUCUCCAGCCCAGCCCCUCCCUGCCCUUGGAAGGUGUUCACAUAAGGAGAUGGACCAUGAUCCUGUGUUCCUGGUUAAGGCAUCCAGCUGUCAGGAAAGUGAGGUCCCCAACCUGCUGAUGGUAUAGUGGGAGYUGCUGACUGUCCUGACCUCUAGGCAAUAGGUGGCAUCCUCUGUAAAACAAUACUGAUAUUUAAAUAUGGUGUGCAGGGUGAAAUUCAGAGAGAAUAACACAAUUCUUGCCCUCAGCAUAUGCUGCUUUGACUCCUAGAAGAGUCUGUGGUAUAUAUGCACUUGUGGUUAGACACAUGACAUAACCUUUGCCAAAGACACCACAUGCAUCAGAGAGGAGAAACAAUGUUACAUGGGUUCUAAAAAUGUUCUUUUUAUAGUACAGAUAUAUAGAUACACAGUCUGAAGAUACUGCACCUAGUAUGAUACCUAGUUAGUAAAGAGUAAUCUUAUUUUGAAUUUGUCAGGCAAAGUGCAAGGAGCAGAAAUCAACGUGAGAGAGAAAAAGCAUGUUUCUCUUCCAUCCAGGUGGUGAGCCAGUAGUCUGCCUGCUAAUGCUUUACUUGCCCCCGUUAAUAAAUUUUAAAGACUGGGCUUCCUGCCCUUUAUAGUGUGCUGAGUGAGUGGAUGGUGCCAAACAAGAUUUGUGAGCUCCUGAGCUCACAAUGUCGAGAUUAUAGCAUUGGAAAAGAAAUUCUGCUUAUAUUUUUGAUAACUAACAUACACCAGUAUCUCACACUCAGCAAUGUGGGUUUCACCUCUGGCUCAGUAACAGCAGGAUUUCAUCCAGACCCUCAAGCAACUAAAAGAGGAUGACAGAAUAAAAACACACUUGCCAAAAUCGGGUUACUGUCUUACAAAAAAACCCUUUUCCCCUAUCCGAACACAAUGCAUACCUAGUAUUUUGAGAGGUGUCUCCAGUGUAGUUGACUCUUGUGGCAUCAUAGUAACUUGGUAGAUUUACCAAGGUGGGAAUCAGAGAAGUGCUGAUAAGAAUGGAUAACUCUGCCWGAGUUUCUCCUUUGUAAGACAAAAUAUUGAGCUGGCAGUAGCCUCAGCACCACUGAUGGCCAAUGAGCCAUGCCACAAAACAUGUUACUUUAAACUAAUUUUGUAUUAGUUUCUGUGACACAUAUUUAGGUCUAAGAACUAAAAUCCAGGUCUUAAAGCUACCUAACCAAAGUAAAGCUGUCUUGAAAAGAAUGAAACAUCUCACAGMGUAAGAUAGCCUGACAGACAAAUGCGAAACCAUAGAAAUAAAACUUCAUAUGUCUUAUGCUGAUUUUUUUCAGAUAAUGGAGCUACAAACUUCUGUGGCAACUGUUCUAGAAGUGAAAGAUGCAAAUCACUUUACCAAAGAUUACCUGUUUUAGUAAAGGUGCCUGAGCUAGACUUGKAAUCCCUGAGCUCCAGCCUUCCUUGAAGGAAGUACCUACUUCACCUAAUUGAGUGCUGGGGAGAGAAUUGCUGUCUGAUUAAAGGUGAAAUUCAACUGCAAUUCAACUUUCUGCAUGCACACCUGAUGUCAUUCUUCAGCACCUGCAAGGAAGAAAAGGAAAUGAUGCAGGAAAACUGGCAUUCAUAAAUACCUUCGUCUGUGUACUCCUGAUCAUUACACUGGCACAAGCCCAGAUCUCUGAAUUUCUCUGUGGGCUGAUUUGAGAGAAGCCAGGUGUACAGUUAUUGGUCACAGCCAGCAUGGAUUCAUGAGAGGAAAGUCCUGCUUAUCAAACCUGAUUUCCUUUUAUGACAAGGUAACUGACUGUCAUGGUUUUAYUUGGUCCGAUUUUUGGUGGUGGAGGGAUGGGACCAAKAAACCACAAAGAUGGCUCCUGUGAGGAAGUUCUAGAAUCUUUCCCCUUCUUCUCCAGCAAAAGGAGCCCUACCCCCUGUGUUUUACAGCCAAUCCAUCAUGGCUCUGAGGUUGAUGGACAGGCUGCCCAUCAGGCCUGGGCCAAUUGCACAGGYURGUUACACCUCUGUGAUGACRUAUUGUCUUGUACUUAAGAAGAAUUCAAAACAAGAUAGGGGCGGCUGCCAUGUAGUUUUAGGUUSUUAGUAUUUAGUUUUAGUACCAUGCAUUGGGGAAAAACAGAGCAGGAGGGUGAGGASAUGUAAGAAUCAAAAUGGAGACCCAAAGAUCACAGUAAGGAGAAGAUGGGAUUGGUUUGCUGUGCUGUUGCUGUGGUUCUCGAGCAUGGAGAAAAUAAGUUGUUCUCGAAAGGACUAUUUCAUYAAUGAGAGACCUGUAUAGAAAAGGAGAGCGACCUUGCUCUGAGGAAAAAAAAAAAAAACCUGGCCUUUGAGGACUGGACUGAACUGAUUGGAAGCCAAAAUAAAAAAGGAAGAGGCUUGACCCCCCCCCCAGGAUGUUUGAAGCGAGUUGAUGCUAAGAAGAAAAUGUGUUCUGCGGGGAGGAGAAGAUGCCCCCACCCUACAUCUGAAGCAAGUGGAUGCUGUGUUCUGCCAGGAGAUUUGUGAUAGUGGUCUUAUGCUGCCGAAACAACGCAGUUUGGCCUUGAAGAACAUUCUUUCCUUUUCUCCUACAAGGUAAAGAAAAGACUCCCUUGCCAUCAGCAGUUAUACACUGACUGUUUCUUGGGAAAAGACCUUCCACAGCUUGGAGCUGUAAGAACACUUCUCCUUUGAUGCUGGUCAACAACCGUAAUGAGUAGUUUGAUCUAUGUUAGACUUUCAUUCCUGUGCCCUGUGUGUGUGGGAAGACAUGGGGGGUGGAGAGGGRCGACCUGAGAAAGAGACGGGUCCCGGAAAGGAUAACAGGUGUCUUAAAAUGUCCAUUUUUAUUUUUUUCUUCUCCUUGUAAAUUUGUCCCUAUCUUUGUUCCCCUCCCCGGUGCAGUAGUAUUCUUAGUAGUUUUUAGUAAUAAAUCUAUUU